rnacentral:rRNA from 1 species
UGACAAUUUUGACCUCAAUCAGGUAGGCUACCCGCUGACUAACCA